rnacentral:rRNA from 1 species
AGCAGCCGCGGUAAUUCCAGCUCCAAUAGCGUAUAUUAAAGUUGUUGCAGUUAAAAAGCUCGUAGUUGAAUUUCGGGAUCGACGGGUCGGUCGCGCCUCUGGUGUGUACUGGCCCUGUCGGUUUCUCCCUUCUGACGAACCACGAUGUCAUUAAUUUGGUGUCGUGGGAAAUCAGGACUGUUACUUUGAAAAAUUAGAGUGUUUAAAGCAGGCAUUCGCUUGAAUACAUUAGCAUGGAAUAAUGAAAUAGGACGUUUGAUCUUAUUUUGUUGGUUUCUAAGAUCGACGUAAUGAUUAAUAGGGAUAGUUGGGGGCAUUAGUAUUCAAUUGUCAGAGGUGAAAUUCUUGGAUUUAUUGAAGACUAACUACUGCGA